UCUCUCUGUCGCAGUUCCACUAUCUCCUGUAUCAAACUCAUCAGGAGGAGGAGGAUGAGGUAAUCGAGGAAGGUUUUCAGAGACGACUUCCGAGCGCAGAAUUCAAAAGCAAGUUGAUGGGCUUUAAUUCUCAAUUAAGCUAGAUGGCCGAACUUCCUCUGUGCAUGUUCCUCUGUGCAACAUAAAAGUUGUUUACAACAAGUAAUGGUUGUUGGAUGUUGAUGCCAUCAUAAUAUAGGAAGGUGUUCCAAUUGUCAACCAGUUUACUCUUGUUGCUGGGAGGUCAAUGGCUUCAGGUAGCUGCUAAGACAGUAUAACUACUGGUGUCCCACCAUCACUGAAUCCUCCUCGUGGAAAGGGUUUGUGCCCUCGGAAAUAUAUUUAUUACUACUUGAGAAGAAGUUAGUUCAUCCUCCACUACAUAAGUAGCUGCAAGUCAAAUGUAUCCAGCCGAAAGCAGAGACGAAUCAUGAUUUCAACAACUUAACUUAAAUUGAAGAUGCGCGACUCCCAGUUAUAUAUGCAUCUUGAAAAUGCACAUUGUUUCUGAUGAUUAAGUAGUGCCAUUCUCAGGUCUUGCUAGGAUUAAAUUCACUCUUCUUGCAUAGCUCAAUAAGUAGUUUGCAUACAAUUUAAUUUGUAUUUCAUCCGUACAUAUUAUGAUUUUAAUCAUUUUAUAUAUGCCACAUAAACCAAAUGUGUCAAGUAUUGGUUUCUAUGUAAUUGAUUCACAUCAAGAAGUAUUUAAAAAUAACUUGGAAUCUUGUUA